UACGGGGGGGGCAAGCGUUGUUCGGAAUUACUGGGCGUAAAGGGCUCGUAGGCGGCCAACUAAGUCAGACGUGAAAUCCCUCGGCUUAACCGGGGAACUGCAUCUGAUACUGGAUGGCUUGAGUUCGGGAGAGGGAUGCGGAAUUCCAGUGUAGCGGUGAAAUGCGUAGAUAUCUGGAGGAACACCGGUGGCGAAGGCGGCAUCCUGGACCGACACUGACGCUGAGGAGCGAAAGCCAGGGGAGCAAACGGG
rnacentral:rRNA from 1 species